rnacentral:rRNA from 1 species
GACGAACGCUGGCGGCGUGCUUAACACAUGCAAAUCGAACGGAAAGGCCCUUCGGGGUACUCGAGUGGCGAACGGGUGAGUAACACGUGGGUGAUCUGCCCUGCACUUUGGGAUAAGCCUGGGAAACUGGGUCUAAUACCGAAUAGGACCACGCGCUUCAUGGUGUGUGGUGGAAAGCUUUUGCGGUGUGGGAUGGGCCCGCGGCCUAUCAGCUUGUUGGUGGGGUAAUGGCCUACCAAGGCGACGACGGGUAGCCGGCCUGAGAGGGUGACCGGCCACACUGGGACUGAGAUACGGCCCAGACUCCUACGGGAGGCAGCAGUGGGGAAUAUUGCACAAUGGGCGCAAGCCUGAUGCAGCGACGCCGCGUGAGGGAUGACGGCCUUCGGGUUGUAAACCUCUUUCAAUAGGGACGAAGCGCAAGUGACGGUACCUAUAGAAGAAGCACCGGCCAACUACGUG